GCAAGUCGAACGGUAACGCAAGGAGCUUGCUCCUUGGCGACGAGUGGCGGACGGGUGAGUAAUGCUUAGGAAUCUGCCCAGUAGUGGGGGACAACUCGAGGAAACUCGAGCUAAUACCGCAUACGCCCUAAGGGGGAAAGCGGGGGAUCUUCGGACCUCGCGCUAAUGGAUGAGCCUAAGUCGGAUUAGCUUGUUGGUGAGGUAAAGGCUCACCAAGGCGACGAUCCGUAGCUGGUCUGAGAGGACGAUC
rnacentral:rRNA from 1 species